GCGGCAGCCAUGAGAGUUUGCUACAUUGGAGCUGAAAGAGGUUUAUCCACUGUUUAUCCCCAAAUUAUGACACCAUCUAUAUGUAAAUCAGACCUCUUCUUGCCCCGCUUGGAUGAAGACUUCUGCCAGACUGGAUGUCCUCUUCUGCCCCAUCGGAUGAAGACUUCGGCCCGGCUGGGUGAACACGACUCAAGACUCCUUCUGACUUGAGUGUUUGCUUGCUAUGGGGAUCAGCUGGCUACCUUGUCUACCCCAUGAACAAACCAUCAGACUUCCAGAAUCUACCUGCGGAAGAACACUGGAUAAGCACCCCUACUGCAAAUGAACUGUAUUGAAGCAAAGUGUCUGAGGAAGGUGGAGCGCUCUAAAUAAACAAAGACUGUUUUUAAAGUGAUCAGAAGCCACCUAGAGACAUUUGUGCUGUUCCCAUGUCAUGCUUCACUGUGGAGAGUGUACAGAGCAAGGAACUGUUGGACAUAUUGUGGGGGGGUGUGCUAGCAAUGCAGGUGGAGAAAUAAAAGAUGCAGCAUUGUUUGGGGAUAGGGGGGCUGGUUGGGUCUUUGUGCAGGUAGACCAGUAGUUUGGGGUUUUACUGGGAGGUAGACAGAGCAUAUUGGA